rnacentral:rRNA from 1 species
AAUACGGGGGGGGUAAGCGUUGUUCGGAAUUACUGGGCGUAAAGGGCUCGUAGGCGGCCAACUAAGUCAGACGUGAAAUCCCUCAGCUUAACUGGGGAACUGCGUCUGAUACUGGAUGGCUUGGAUUCGGGAGAGGGAUGCGGAAUUCCAGGUGUAGCGGUGAAAUGCGUAGAUAUCUGGAGGAACGCCGGUGGCGAAGGCGGCAUCCUGGACCGACAUUGACGCUGAGGAGCGAAAGCGUGGGGAGCAAACA